CUUUCCCAGUAGAAAAGGUCGCCCGAAGCAGGCCACAAAAGUAAAAAGCCAGGCUCUGCUGAUGUUGGAUCUGGCUUAACAAAUCCAGCUAACGGUGGGCUAUUUAGACUCUGCUGAUCUAGAAUACCCGUAAAACGUUCCCAAUCAAAGCAUAUUAAGUUUUGGGGCUGACUUCCAUAACCAGCAAUCCAUGCCUUUCGAACUUUGACACUAAUAUACAAAUAAUAUUCCAAAAUAGAGUCAAUUAGUCCAACAACUGGCGCAUCAUGGAUUGUAAAAUUGCCAACCUUAGGAGCAGAUAUUUGGAGUAUU